CAAUCUCAUAGCGGACUCCCCGGUGUUGCCCUUAUGAUCUCCCCACUCCCUCUUCAGUGUUCUGUGAGCCUUAGGUGUGGGACUUGUUUUGUAAAUGUAUCUACCGGGACUGACUGCACUCCACACCCUGACACUCUUUCCUCUACUUUUACUCAGAAUAUUUAUUUUGAAAUUCUCAUUUUAUUUCACAGGAUGGAUAUCCCAUUGAGUACUUAUUCACCUACUGAUAUAUGUUUGAGUUGUGUCCAGUUUCUUGCGCAUCAUAAUAAAGCCGUGUGUAAACCCAUGGUUAUGCUGGUGUCAAUACUUCCCAGAGCUGCAGAGUCAGAUAUCCGGGACGUAGCUGCCGGGCCUCUGAAGGUGUUGAUUGAAUGUUAUCACUCGGGGGAGCUGAGUCAUUUCUACUCAUACAUGAUACAUUGCAUCUCCUCACCAUACUCUGUCUUGCAAAAAAUUGUUUUCUACACUAAGUAUAAAAAGAUAAUAGUGAGAUAAAAAGAUACUAAAUGCUUGUCCUAUUACAAAAUCUUGCUCAAUCCUUUUUAAAAACCCCAUUAAUAUUUUAUUCGUUUCUCUAUUUUCUUUUUCCCUUUUUUUGGUGUAUGGCGUAUGGGGUCGUGUGUGUGUGUGUGUGUUGUGUGUGUUGUGUAUGUGCAUGCCUGUAGAGGUCAGAGGUUGAGCAUUAGAUAUGCUCCUCAAUUAAUAUCCAUCUUACUCUUUGAGCUAGGGUCUCUUGUUUAAUUUGGAGCUUGCUUAUCUGCCUAGACUGGCUGGCCCACAAGCCCAAGGAUUC
rnacentral:lncRNA from 1 species